GACGAACGCAGGCGGCGUGCCUAAUACAUGCAAGUAGAACGCUGAAGAGAGGAGCUUGCUCUUCUUGGAUGAGUUGCGAACGGGUGAGUAACGCGUAGGUAACCUGCCUGGUAGCGGGGGAUAACUAUUGGAAACGAUAGCUAAUACCGCAUAAUAGUAGAUGUUGCAUGACAUUUGCUUAAAAGGUGCAAUUGCAUCACUACCAGAUGGACCUGCGUUGUAUUAGCUAGCUGGUGGGGUAACGGCUCACCAAGGCAACGAUACAUAGCCGACCUGAGAGGGUGAUCGGCCACACUGGGACUGAGACACGGCCCAGACUCCUACGGGAGGCAGCAGUAGGGAAUCUUCGGCAAUGGACGGAAGUCUGACCGAGCAACGCCGCGUGAGUGAAGAAGGUUUUCGGAUCGUAAAGCUCUGUUGUAAGAGAAGAACGAGUGUGAGAGUGGAAAGUUCACACUGUGACGGUAUCUUACCAGAAAGGGACGGCUAACUACGUGCCAGCAGCCGCGGUAAUACGUAGGUCCCGAGCGUUGUCCGGAUUUAUUGGGCGUAAAGCGAGCGCAGGCGGUUAGAUAAGUCUGAAGUUAAAGGCUGUGGCUUAACCAUAGUACGCUUUGGAAACUGUUUAACUUGAGUGCAAGAGGGGAGAGUGGAAUUCCAUGUGUAGCGGUGAAAUGCGUAGAUAUAUGGAGGAACACCGGUGGCGAAAGCGGCUCUCUGGCUUGUAACUGACGCUGAGGCUCGAAAGCGUGGGGAGCAAACAGG
rnacentral:rRNA from 1 species